UACGUAGGGUGCAAGCGUUGUCCGGAAUUACUGGGCGUAAAGAGCGCGCAGGCGGUCGCUCAAGUCGCGUGUGAAAGCCCCGGCUCAACUGGGGAGGGUCACGCGAUACUGAUCGACUGGAAGGCAGGAGAGGGUAGUGGAAUUCCCGGUGUAGUGGUGAAAUGCGUAGAUAUCAGGAAGAACACCCGUGGCGAAGGCGGCUCUCUGGAACGCAACUGACGCUGAGACGCGAAAAGCGUGGGGAGCAAACAGG
rnacentral:rRNA from 1 species